UUUGCCUUAUGAAAUUCAUACGUUAUAUGUAAACUUUUCAUAAGGUAUUCUUAUGAACAGACCUUGUUCAUUACAGCGUUCAUCCUGACCAUCUUGACAGCUAGCAAAAAAAAUGGCUCACUUCUUGUUGCAUUUUUUUCACGCCAUCAACCGACAUUGCAGCAACUGCAAUGUCAGAAGGAUCACCGUAAAUCUAAAACGACUACCUGUGCAUGAAUUCGGUAAUUCAAUCAAGGCACUCUCCCGAAGUCCUCCGAAAGCGGAAACAACUGCACAAGUCCUGCAGUUUUGCCUCCCUCGACGAUGUACGAAGACUCAAGACGUCCAGCUUCUCGCCUAUAUAGUAUAGUGCAAUGAUCCUGUCCUAGUGGAAUAAGAUUAUCCGGUUUCCUCCGGCUUCGGUAUACGGUCUCGAUAAACGGACGAAUGAUGCCGGAUGCGACAGGUUUCGGCGAAAUCAUCAAGAUCAGGAAGACAGAUGCGGUUACGAUGAAUUGCAUCAGCAACUUGUCAUUAAGAAGAAAGCUCUAUGGUACACAAAUAGACUCCGAGCUUCGGACUGCAGUGUAUACGUAAUACGUGCAAUUUCAGGAAUAAUUUGGACGAUCUGAAACUGCUUGGCAUAGCUUGACCCGACAAAGUUAGUCGCCAAAAAUCCAACCACCAACAAAGUAAACAUCAAUGGUAUGCUUACGACUAGACUAAACGGUGCUCCCGAUGGCAGUAAGGCCAGAAAAAACAACUAUUCGGGCAUCUGUAGUAGCCAUUUAGCAAGAGCGUUUAUGCGGGCUAGAGUUGUCGGUGCAAUUAUUUAAUCAGAUGCUGAGGAGCCAGUACUUCAACUUCAGAACCAUACUGGUCAACACUCAACACACAGUGCCGGUGUCAGUUUUCAUGCCCUCACUAUUAAGGGGCUGUCCAUAUACCACGUGGACAGGUUUUGAUUUGUUUAAGAUACCCCUCUCCCCCAGCGUGGACAACUGCUCAUAUAAAUUUUCAACAAUUUGUAUGAACCGUGGACAUUUGCCAUACCCCCCUCUCCCUAAACUGUCCACGUGGUAUAUGGACAGCCCCUAAUAGCAUAUCGGUCAGUUUGGUUGUAGUGGGGUGUUGAUCAAUAGUUCGUGAGCUAAUGCUAAAGUUGGGACCUUCCUUAGCCGUGUGGUAUGAUGCGCGGCUACAAAGCAAGUCCAUGCUGAAGGUGACUGUGUUCAAUUCCCGGUCCCGUCAUAGGAAAUUUUCAUUCUUGGCUAAGUUGCAAGGCAGAAAUGUCACCACAGCAUUAAGAAGAGAAGGAAAUCGGCGUUGGGAAAUGUCUUGAAGAAAUCGUUGUUAUAUGAUUUCAUGCAGUAAUCUUUCGUGCAUGUGUCGGUAUCACUGGGCCAAGGCUGCCUAUUUACUACAUACUUUGAUACAUUACAGUAGUAAUAUGUACUAAUUAUAUGGUUAUA